rnacentral:rRNA from 1 species
CGGUGGAUGCCUUGGCACCAAGAGCCGAUGAAGGACGUUGUGACCUGCGAUAAGCCCUGGGGAGUUGGUGAGCGAGCUGUGAUCCGGGGGUGUCCGAAUGGGGAAACCUGGAAUGUCCGGAGUAGUGUCCGGUGGCCCUGCCCUGAAUGUAUAGGGGUGUGGGUGGUAACGCGGGGAAGUGAAACAUCUUAGUACCCGUAGGAAGAGAAAACAAUUGUGAUUCCCCAAGUAGUGGCGAGCGAACGGGGAACAGCCCAAACCACAUCGAUUAAGGUCGGCGUGGGGUUGUAGGACUGCAAUGUGGACUAUAAAUUGAUAAUGGAACUUUUUGGAAAAUUAGGCCAUAGAGGGUGAUAGCCCCGUACAUGAAAUCGAUUUAUUACCUAGCAGUAUCCUGAGUAGAGCGGGACCGGAGAAAUCCUGCUUGAAUCCACCGGCACCAUCCGGUAAGGCUAAAUACUCCUGAGAGACCGAUAGCGAACUAGUACCGUGAGGGAAAGGUGAAA